rnacentral:lncRNA from 1 species
UGCCCAGCACUCCUCCUCAGGAAGUGUCCAUAAUGAUGCCCACAGACCGUAACGACACAGCCCAUCUGAGCUGGCUGCCCCCACCUCAUGACGCUCACAAUGGGAUCAUUCAAGGAUACCAGGUACCACAAACACAAAUGAUAGUUUUAGGUAAUUCACAGCCCUAGCUAUUGUGAGGAUUGACUCAACACAGUAGGCCCAUUACAUCUAUAGUGCGAUAUGGUCAAUCACACAGAAUUAGACUGGUCCAUCAGUCUCUGUCAAUAUCUGAUAAAAAGGAUGAAUCAUAGAUUUUUUUUCUUUUUCUUAGCCUCAGUGUGUGUUGUCUCUCUCAGGUGUGGUGUGUCCAACAAGAAGAGCAGCAGUACCUGAACUGGACAGUGGACAGUGGCACACACAAUCUGGAGAUUAGCCAACUGCAGCCUGGCAAACACUACUGGAUCAGAGUGGCGGCGGUCAAUGGGGCCGGGAUCGGAGUGCAAAGCAAUCCAUACAAACUGCUAAUAGAAUCUAAGAAGCCAUCAACAUCCUUUCACAAAAAUGCACUGAAUCUAUCUGAUGUUGUGGCAAUAAUGAAGGAGCCAAUAUUUAUUGGCAGCAUUGGCGCCCUCUUGUGGUGCGUGCUGAUGGCUACAGCUAUUUAUCUAUACAGAAAACACAUCAGACCAUCCAAUCUGGGAGGAGGACAUCACAAGAAGCCUGGUAAAUACCAGCCAGUAAUCACUGGGCAUUAUAUUACUGCAGUUUAUUUAUGUUUUGUUGUGAAUGGUUAAUGCGAAAUGAUUCUUGAUCUUUUUUUUUAGGAUUGUAUCGAUUGGCUAGUGAGGAUUUAAUCAUCAAGCACAGGAUGGCAGCUCCAGAUUCUCCAUGGAUCUCCGGAUCUUGGAGGCCAGACUCCAACAGUGAGCAGUACCAGAGUCUGUGGACACAGAACAAACAGGAGAAUGCAGGCCUGAAGAGAAGCACUCUACCCAUAACAGCCAAACCCGACUCCAGCCCUCUGGAGGCAGCUGUCCCCAUUGUGCCCGACAACUGCGGAGUCUACGGCACCUUCUACGUGGAUCUGACCGGGAACAAGCUGAAAACAUUUAACAGCCCGGCCCAACGGCCCAAAAUGCCCCACAACAAUACCCAGCAGCUUCCCAGCUCAGAGACCAUCCGCAUCACUCAACCUGUAGCCAAGGCACCGGUAGUCAGGGAGGGGCAAGUGAUGCCAUGGAAACGGGCUCUGCCAUGCCAGCCUAAUAUGGGCAUUCGAAAGGAAUCAUGGGAGAAGAACUUUAAACGAGAGCUGCAUGCAGUAAACAGUGCUCCAUUAGUUCCCCUGCAUCAACAGGCCCUGGUGGUGCGCAACGCCCCUAUCAAUCAUAAACACAGGCUCAGCCAGCAUCCAGGAGGGGUCUCAGAGGGCGUGAAGCCGUUCGGUUCUCCCAGAAUCCUACACUACUCAGCCUCACUGCACUUAGUGGACAUGCUGCCCAAUCCUCCUCCUCUGCCAAUGGAGGACAGCCAGAGUGUCAGCUCUGAGGAAGGGUCCAGCCGGUCCACUAAGCUGACGGUGGAUGCUGGUUCCCUGCAGUCUGUGUGUGCUGCCUCCACCCUGCAGGGUCCUGCUACUGUGGCAACAGGCUGCCCCUCCCAACGAAGCCCCUCCUACAGCCACCUCUCUACUGCAUCCUUCUGCCUAUCCACUGAUGAUAAUCAGGAUACCCUCAGUACACAGGCACACGAGUACCUGGAACUGAGCCCUAAACCACUCAGACGCAGGUGAGAAAGGAUGCACACAUGUACACAUUUGUAGAAACCACUUUAGGCAGACUUUUAUGCCUGUCAUUUUGUAAAAUAAUAGUAAGGCACUGAUGCUUUUGACUAAUAUUUUAAUUGGUAAGAUUUUAUUUUUGGUAAAGGCAUUUGUUCAGGAUGUGGAAGUGGUAUGUUGUAUGUAGUUUCUUUUAUGUACGCUAUAUAUGUCUUUAGGGAAUAAAAAGGCCAAAUGAAACA